rnacentral:lncRNA from 1 species
GAAACACACAUUUAUUUAAAUACAGAAAUGUCAUGAAAUGUGUCAGAAAAUCUUCAGGACCUCCUGAUUCCUUUUAUCACUGCCCAACCACUGAGGUCUUCAUGAUAGCCAUUGUUUGUGGUCCCCCAUGGCUUGGACACUUGGCUCACGCACAGCAGGAGCUGUGCUUUCAGUGCUGUGGGCUCAAGCUUGUGGCAUUCCCUUCCAGCUAAGAUCAGACAGGCCCCCUUCUGGACUUCCAGAGGAGUCUCCAACUUUUUCAUCCUCAUUAUUGGCCACCUAUUGAGAAGAAUCAGUCAAUCUCCCUAACAAAGGAAAGGUAUUUGGCAAGUUUGCCAAGUCUGUUAAGGCAGUUUCCAGUUCUGCUAACUACCUCCUCUACAACUUGUUUGGCCACUGUAGCAAUAGUCCUCUAGUCCAGACCCCAGUCUUAUAUCUAGAAAAUUUGUGAGUUGGAAAGGACCUAAAAGGCCACCCAAGACACCCUUCCCCCCAAGCUUGCAAAGUUGAAACAAAAACAAAAACUGGGACCUGACCAGUAGUAGUUUCUAUUUGUAUCAUGUUUAAGACUAUAACCCAAUACACUCUUAAAGGUAAAGCGACCCCUGACCAUUAGGUCCAGUCGUGGCCGACUCUGGGAUUGCUGCGCUCAUCUUGCUUUAUUGGCCGAGGGAGCUGGCGUACAGCUUCCGGGUCAUGUGGCCAGCAUGACUAAGCCGCUUCUGGCGAACCAGAGCCGCACACAGAAACACCGUUUACCUUCUCGCCUGAGCACUACCUAUUUAUCUACUUGCACUUUGACUUGCUUUCGAACUGCUAGGUUGGCAGAAGCUGGGACCGAGCAACGGGAGCUCACCCCGUCGCGGGGAUUCGAACCGCUGACCUUCUGAUCGGCAAGUCCUAGGCUCUAUGGUUUAACCCACAGCACCACCCGCGUCUCUAUACACCCUUACCUGGCAGUAAUUCCAAUAGUAAUUCCAAGGGGGCUUACACCUGAGUAGGAUUGCAUUGCAUCUCAGUAAUCCCUCCAACAGACGUAUAAAGUAGGCCAGUCUGGAAUUGGGUGGGCCAGAGCUUGAGAAACAGUGGCUUGCUCAAGGCAGUCUACUGGGUUCAAUGGCUGAGGUGCAGUUUGGCACUGAGAAGGCCUGGACCUAUCGCAGUCUCUUAACCACUCUUGUUUCACUGGGUCUCAAGGCAUUACACUCUUCAGUGAAAUAUAAUCAAAGCAAAGCCAUUUUCAUUAGGCUGUUCUCAUGAAAGGCCAGAGGCUGGGCUAUUCCAAAUUAGCUCUUUACUUAUUGUCGUCAGGAGACAAGUCGUGCCAUGUUUUUCUGGCAUUAAGGAAGUGUAGCUGAAGUCCCCGUUAGUGUUCUGUGCAGUGGUGACUUGGCUGCUUUAUCUUGAGAUGGAGUGCUAUUAUUUUAAAAACCCUGGAAGAAAAGAGAGAGGCUGUUUCCAGCUUCUCUCUCUUGCUCCCGCUCAUAAGCUAGUGAGGAACUGUAUCAGCAUGAUAAGCUUCAUAUUUAUUUUUGUGUAUUUUGACACUUACAUACCACUUAGCACCAUAAUCUGUAAGUACGCUGCAGUAAGAUUAAACAGAUAAAAAAAACACACAGUUAAAACAAAUCAGAAAACUUACUUAAAAUGCCUGCUUAAACCAAAAGGUCUGCACUAAGCACCAGAUGCUCAACAGGGAGGGGGUUCUGUAGGCAUCUUAGGCUGCCUCCCUAGAGAUCUGAUGUGGGAGCUAUGGGUGUUGAUAAUUUGUUGGAACACUGAAGCUACAUCUCCAUCUAUCCUCAACCUGUCGUCUUCUUUUUUGGCGAUCACUUGUAGCCGAGUAAGAUUGUCUUCCAUGAACACGGUCUUAACAGUGAGUCUGUAAGUGACUGUGGAGGCCAAUUCUGGAUCCACACAUCCUUCCACUGUGGGGACAUAGGUUUCUGGGCAGGAGUUGAUCAUGGUGAGGGUUUGCCAAGCGUGCCUUCCUCUUAGCACGUUUCUCCCUUUUGUCCUUCAAAGCCAAUGACACCUUUGGUAAAGGCUGUUCUCCAACUGCAGCGCUCGCAGGCCAGUGUUUCCCAGUUGUCGGUGUUUAUGCUACAUUUUUUUUAAGAUUUGCCUUGAGAGAGUCUUUGAACCUCUUUUGUUGACCACCAGCACUACACUUUCCAUUGUGAAAUUUGGAAUAGAGUAGUUGCUUUGGAAGACGAUCAUCAGGCAUCUGCACAACAUCCGCUCAACCUGUAUAUUUACAAAUAAACCUAUGUAUUACAAAUCCCCAAGAACCUAACCUGGGUAAGCACUGUAUCUCUAGAACUUCUCACCACUCAGGAACAGGUGACAGUGUAUAUUAAAUCACUUGUAUGGAGAAUGUUGAAAUGCGGGCAGUGCAUAUUUUAGGUAGGUGGGACAUGAAUAAGAUUGACAUCUGAGGCUGACACUGUCCAACCUUAAUCCAUCCUUCAUGCUUCUUGCAUUACACCUACUUACAGAAUCCAAGCAUUUUCUUCAGUAAGAGUAGUUUGCAAAAUCAAUGAUGAAUGGAUGGUCUUUUAAUGCCCUAAGAAUCAAGUCAAUCCUCUUCCUUCCCAGCAUUGUUACUUUUCCAAUCAUUUCAUGUUCUCCAUCACAUUAUCAGGUCUCAUCCAAUCAUGGACAUUUCUUGGAGUCCCCUUGCCGUUGUUUUUAACAUCUGUUAAUGUCUGCUAGAAACAUGAAUCUCUAUGACAGGUUAUUGUGCUUCUAUUUAUAAAGCACAUGAAGUUGUCGUAGAAAGGUUUACUUUUAUGUGCCGCAAGAGAAGGCGAAAUGGUGUGGACUUAACAUUAGAAGAAUCUGCCCCACAGAGAUGAAAGGAAUAAUUUUAGGAGAAAUUUAGUUCUCAAUGAUGCACCAAGAAGUAAAAAGGGGGGUGGAGUGUGAUGCAAAUGAGACUGGAUACAAAUAGAAGAGCAAUGAUUAUGCCAUCUACAGUGCAGGAACAGAAAUAUAAGCUCUGAAUCACCACUGUUCUGUCAAUGCCUCAAAGGUUUAAAAAUGGUAUGUGCAAACUAUGAAGUAAUGCUGACUAAUGAAGAGUAUAUUUACAGUAAUCAUGAGCAGCUCCAAGAGGGCUGCAUUAAAAUAGGGGUAAGUUUAACAAAUACCUGUAGUUAUUUCUAUUUUGCCUCUCUUUGGUCAGGAGAUCAAAUGUAGCUGAAAUGAGAUUGUGUUAAGGAGAGGAGAAGAAAAUAAAUCUGAGUGAUUCUAGCAGGCCAAAUGUGUAGGGUCACAAGCAUCUCUUCUAACAAUUCAUCAACCAGGAACCCAGACAAGACCCCCAAAUUCUGUAGAAACUCCUUUGUCCACAUGGAAGCUCCAUCAGCACUUUGAAUCCUGCUCCACAAAUGUGAAUUUCUGAUAUAGAUCUGAGUUGUGCCGAUUCAUGCAGCAAACUUCUACUUGCAUAAUGGAACUGCCCCUUCCAACUUGCUGCACACCCUCAAAAUCUGCUCCGUCUCUCUUAAGCCCUAGAUUUGGCCCUUAAAAUUGAUUGAUUUUAAAUUUGCACCGCUCCUUCUUCUAUGUACUCAAGCAGCUAAAGUGGAAAGUUGGUGGGAUGGAGAAGCAGCCUGAUUGCUUAAAAUCUAUCCCUGUCAAAUCCCUGGUUCUGAAUUCAGGGUAUUUAAAAAUAAAAAUAAUAUUUUGGGAAACUCCCUUUACAUGUUAGUGUAAUGAAAGACAAUAUCAUCCCCACCACCACAACCACCACCUCUAUUCUUAUUAUUUUCUUGCAUUUGU